UUCCCCCCACCCACUCCGCUCCUUCUCCCCACACGCUCUCACACCGACUCGCGCGCACACACUCACGCACACACGCACGCAGAGCAAGUCUCUCGCGCUCGCUCUUGCAGACAGACAGGGAGACAGAAGAUGGCUGACUCGCCCGGGCAACCCACAGUCCAGCCCGCCCGCAUCCCCGACCCUCCCAGAGCCGCUUUCUCCUUUGACACUCGCUGACGCCUUCGCCCAGCGCUGAAAGCCGCCGCCGCCGCCCCCCCGCCCCGCAUCCUCGCUCCCUUCCCACAACCUUCCCCCUUCAACCUUCCCCCAAAUAAUACCAGCAGCCAUUUCAUCUCCACCAAAGUAGAUACGUACAAAAAAUGGCAGAAAUGGAGAAGGAAGGGAGACCUCCCGAAAAUAAAAGAAGCAGGAAGCCGGCUCACCCCGUGAAAAGGGAAAUCAAUGAAGAGAUGAAGAACUUUGCAGAAAACACCAUGAAUGAGCUCCUUGGCUGGUAUGGUUAUGAUAAGGUUGAAUUAAAAGAUGGAGAAGAUAUUGAAUUCAGGAACUACCCUGCAGAUGGGGAGAGCCGACAGCACAUUUCUGUUCUCAAAGAAAAUUCUUUGCCAAAAACAAAAUUACCUGAAGACAGUGUUAUUUCAUCAUACAGUAUAAACACAAGCUAUCCAGGGCUCACCACAGGAAAUGGACUCUCUGACUCACCAGCAGGGUCAAAGGAGCAUGGAAAUGUUCCCAUCAUUGUCCCAUUAAUUCCACCACCGUUCAUUAAGCCACCAGCAGAAGAUGAUGUGUCAAAUGUACAAAUAAUGUGUGCCUGGUGCCAGAAAGUGGGAAUCAAGCGUUAUUCUUUGAGUAUGGGGAGCGAAGUGAAAUGCUUCUGCAGUGAGAAAUGCUUUGCAGCUUGCCGAAGAGCAUACUUCAAGAGAAACAAGGAAAAGAAUAUUGAUAUUAUAAAGAAUUGCAUGAAUUGGAGAUUCAUAUCUUUCAAGAAGCUCCCUGUUUAUUUCUCCGAAAAGGCUAGAGAUGAAGAUGGACAUGCUGAAAAUUUUCCCCAGCAGCACUAUGCUAAGGAAACUCCAAGACUUGCCUUCAAGAAUAACUGCGAACUACUUGUAUGUGACUGGUGUAAGCACAUAAGACACACAAAAGAGUAUCUGGAUUUUGGGGACGGGGAAAGAAGGCUUCAGUUCUGCAGUGCAAAAUGUCUCAAUCAGUACAAAAUGGACAUUUUCUACAAAGAGACACAGGCCAAUCUUCCAGCUGGACUCUGCAGCACAUUACAUCCUCCAGUCGAAAAUAAAGCAGAAGGCACUGGGGUGCAGCUGCUGACUCCAGAUUCUUGGAAUAUACCGCUAGCAGAUGCUCGGAGAAAGGCCCCAUCCCCAGUGUCUGCAGCUGGCCAAAUUCAAGGUCCUGGACCAUCCGCAUCUACCACUGCCUCUCCGCCUGAAACUGCCAACUGCUCUGUCACUAAAAUCCCAACGCCUGUUCCCAAACCUAUUCCCAUCAAUGAGAAUCCAAAUAUGCCACCGGUUUCCAUCCAGCCACCUGCUAGCAUUGUGCCUCCAAUUGGUGUCCCACCUCGAAGUCCUCCCAUGGUGAUGACAAACCGUGGGCCUGUCCCCUUGCCCAUAUUCAUGGAACAGCAAAUCCUGCAGCAAAUCCGUCCCCCAUUUAUUCGAGGGCCACCUCAUCAUGCCUCAAAUCCAAAUAGCCCUCUGUCCAAUCCAAUGAUUCCUGGAAUUGGUCCACCACCAGGUGGCCCAAGAAAUAUGGGCCCCACCUCCAGUCCUAUGCACAGGCCAAUGCUGUCCCCCCAUAUUCACCCUCCAACAACCCCAACUAUGCCUGGAAAUCCCCCAGGUUUACUACCCCCUCCGCCUCCGGGAGUCCCUUUGCCCAGCCUUCCUUUUCCCCCAGUAAGCAUGAUGCCAAAUGGUCCUGUGCCCAUGCCACAGAUGAUGAACUUUGGCUUGCCAUCUCUUGCCCCCCUGGUGCCACCCCCAACCCUGUUAGUGCCAUAUCCUGUCAUUGUCCCUCUUCCAGUUCCUAUCCCCAUUCCAAUCCCCAUUCCACACAUCAAUGAUUCCAAACCCCCAAAUGGCUUCUCCAGCAAUGGGGAGAGUUUCAUUCCAAGUACAUCUAGCGAUGCGACUGGGGCAAAGCCAACAAAUAACUCUGUGUCCCCCAGAGAUCCGAAACAAGGGCCUUCCAAGUCUUCUGACUCAACACCAAGCUGCUCAGGCCAGUCGUUAAAUCAAAUGCCAGUGCAUCAGGAGCACAGUAAAAAUGAAGUUGUUGAUUUGACUGUGAGACCUAGUAGUCCGGUAAACAACAAAUUUGGUUUUCCUACAGCACUACAGGGACCACAGGAUGGUGUGAUAGACUUAACUGUAAGUCACAGGUCUAGACUACACAAUGUUAUCCACAGGGCUUUACAUGCUCAAGUCAAAGUUGAACAUGAAGCUAGCAGUGUUGUAAACCUGACUUUUGGUAGUGCAGAUAAAAGGAACUGCAGUGACUGCAGGAACAAUUGCAGCUCCACUGAAACAAAGACGUUACCUUGUAGUGACCCAGCUCACUGUGGUCCUAUCACACUGGCCUCUGGCACGCCAGAGAAUAGUGCAGGUGCAGUUUGCAACGUCAUUGUGAAUGGCACGAAGGCCCCAGAGGUUUCUAAGAACUCAGAGCAGCCCCAAGAGCAGAAGAAGUCGCAGCCUCUGGAGGAACUGCCAGUGAGUGAGCUGGAGUCUGUUAAGGAAAACAACUGUACGUCAAACUGCCGCCGGGAAGCAGAGUCUGGUAAGAAGACUGGGGAAGAACCCCUCUUUGGGGGAGACAAGCAAGAUCCCAACCUUAACAAUCCUGCAGAUGAGGACCAUGCAUAUGCUUUGCGGAUGCUACCCAAAACAGGCUGUGUCAUCCAGCCUGUGCCAAAACCAGCGGAAAAGACUGCUAUUUCACCAUGCAUUAUCUCAACACCAAUUCUCAGCACAGGGCCAGAAGAUCUGGAGCCACCACUGAAAAGGAGGUGUCUCCGAAUUCGAAAUCAGAAUAAGUAAAGGUUUGUGUAAUCACUACAGUCUUCUGUGUGAGCAGAGUGAAUAUCAGUGUUUUCAGGAAUGCUCAAUUUGACAGGGUAACUUGCAUGGAGAAAGGGAGCAGAGCAAACCAUACUACUUCACCAAACAACACCAGCUGGUCCACUCACCACCCCUUCUGGUUAAAAGUCAAGAAAGCAAAGUCGCUUUCGAUCAUUAAUUCUCACGGAGAGAAGGCUCAAACCUUUGGGUGCCUUUGGCUCAGAAGACUGUAAGCACAUCAUGGACACCACGAAGCACGCUCAGCAUUCCAACUACCAUCUCCCCUUCUCCCAUACCCUUUGGUUUCUUGCCGACGGAGGAUUUUCCUCUGAUUUCUAAAGCCACAUGGACCAAUGUAUGUACUUUUUUUCCCUCACUGACUUCAAGGUUCAGAUUAUUGAGGUUGGACAAUGAAAUAGAUUUUUUUUCAAAAACUGCUGUGGUUUUGCUGCUACACUAAGAAUUGUGAUUUGCAUUGUAUGGUUUUGGACCGAUUCGCGUUUUUGAUGGGGGGGUGGGGGUUGAAGGGGCUAUACUGGAGUAUUGACACUUCAGAGUCAUCUCUAUCUCCUACCCAUGAUGCACUUUUAAAUGAAGAGUUAUUAGAAUAUUUUAUUGGCUAAUAUACUUUUUUCCUUGUUAUUUUUACAAAGGCCACCUUUAUCCCUUUUAAUGCCAUAUUUUCAGUGUUACACUUUUAUGGCUUUUAAUUUUUUAAUUUUUUUUAUUUGACAGAAGUAAGCAGCAUGAAUAGUUUAUACUGUGGUUUUUCAGAGACUGAAUGCCAAGAGAACUCAGUAAAUGUUUAUUCCUCUCAGCUUUCUCUUUCAAUUUCCCUAAAUAGCGCCCCAUUUGGGAACAGAGCAAGAGUGUUGAACUAAAGACCAAAAAGGAAAAAAAAAAAAAAGAUCCCCUCAAGGUGUAAAACUAUCUGGGGGAAAUAUUUGCUGGGUGUUAUGAAAGACUUGGAUGAAAUUUCAACCCUGAUGGUUUUUCAGUGAUCCAGGAAGCCAGUGAGACAAUCUCUCCAGAUGCGAAGCCCUUUCAUGAUAAUUAGAAAGGUAUGGCCAAGCCAAUGAAAACACAGGGGUAAAAUGAGAAGAGAGCCCCCACGAUUCUGUUUCACUGUUUGCUUUCUCCUGUCAUGGUUAAAAGAAAUGUGCAAUUCAAUCCUCAGUCAGUGGGUGGAGGAUAACAGGGUAGAAUUUACUUGUGUGCACUUGUAUAGUUGUAGCCAAGAGUCCAAAAGUACACUAGAGCAUGUAUGCCGGCACUGAUUUGGUAAAAAUGUGGAGUAUCCCAUUCUGACAAAAUACUAAGGGCGGCGGGGAAUGGGAAAAAAAUCAUAUAAAAAUGUUCAAAUCACCUUGUGAUCCAGUGUAACUGUUUACUAACUUGAAUAAAGCAAUUGUUCACACUACAGUGUCCAGGGUACACCUUUACUAUAAGGCUAUUUUAAUUAGCAAACAGGAAGCCAUUUGGAAAGGAUGUACUUCAAAAGAGUUGGGAGCAGGGUCUGAACACAAGCCAAUCAAAGCAGAGCCUUAUAGCGAGGGUGCCCUGAGGGCACUAUGUACAUACUGUAUUUCUAUAUUUUCCUUUGUACAGAUUCACUUAAGUCAAGCUACUGUUUUACAGGUGCUCCUUAUUUAUUAGGGCUGUGAAGGCUUGGAAAAUUACACCCAAUGAGCAAGCUCGCUUUUUAAAAAAAUAAAUGAAAAAUUAAAAAGGGCAGGGGAGGGAAGGAGGGAGGGAGGGUUUGUGGUGGGGGAAGGAGCUCAUGAGCCCAUGGGGUGAUUUCAAAACCUAGCAGAGAAAAAUUUCUAUGGGAAAAAGGAAGCACUUUUAAGAGGCUUCUGGUUGUUCUGGGCUCACAAUGUUUUUCUUUCUCCCUGACUGGUGUCAGAUUUAUUAAAACAAAAUAAAUCUCCAAGUUAAAAAAUGCA